AUUGAACGCUGGCGGCAGGCUUAACACAUGCAAGUCGAGCGGGGUGAUGGUGCUUGCACUAUCACUAGCGGCGGACGGGUGAGUAAUGCUUAGGAAUCUGCCUAUUAGUGGGGGACAACAUCUCGAAAGGGAUGCUAAUACCGCAUACGUCCUACGGGAGAAAGCAGGGGAUCACUUGUGACCUUGCGCUAAUAGAUGAGCCUAAGUCGGAUUAGCUAGUUGGUGGGGUAAAGGCCUACCAAGGCGACGAUCUGUAGCGGGUCUGAGAGGAUGAUCCGCCACACUGGGACUGAGACACGGCCCAGACUCCUACGGGAGGCAGCAGUGGGGAAUAUUGGACAAUGGGGGGAACCCUGAUCCAGCCAUGCCGCGUGUGUGAAGGAGGCCUUAUGGUUGUAAAGCACUUUAAGCGAGGAGGAGGCUCUUUUGGUUAAUACCCAAGAUGAGUGGACGUUACUCGCAGAAUAAGCACCGGCUAACUCUGUGCCAGCCGCCGCAGUAA
rnacentral:rRNA from 1 species